rnacentral:rRNA from 1 species
AUUGAACGCUGGCGGAAUGCUUUACACAUGCAAGUCGAACGGCAGCACGGACUUCGGUCUGGUGGCGAGUGGCGAACGGGUGAGUAAUACAUCGGAACGUGCCCAGUCGUGGGGGAUAACGUAGCGAAAGCUACGCUAAUACCGCAUACGAUCUAAGGAUGAAAGCGGGGGAUCGCAAGACCUCGCGCGACUGGAGCGGCCGAUGGCAGAUUAGGUAGUUGGUGGGGUAAAGGCUCACCAAGCCGACGAUCUGUAGCUGGUCUGAGAGGACGACCAGCCACACUGGGACUGAGACACGGCCCAGACUCCUACGGGAGGCAGCAGUGGGGAAUUUUGGACAAUGGGCGAAAGCCUGAUCCAGCCAUUCCGCGUGCAGGAUGAAGGCCCUCGGGUUGUAAACUGCUUUUGUACGGAACGAAAAGGCUCUGGUUAAUACCUGGGGCUCAUGACGGUACCGUAAGAAUAAGCACCGGCUAACUACGUGCCAGCAGCCGCGGUAAAAC